rnacentral:rRNA from 1 species
UACGUAGGGGGCGAGCGUUGUCCGGAAUCAUUGGGCGUAAAGAGCGUGUAGGCGGCUUGGCAAGUCUUGCGUGAAAUCCUGCGGCUCAACCGCAGGCGGUCGCAGGAAACUGCCUCGCUAGAGUCCGGAAGAGGAGAGCGGAAUUCCUGGUGUAGCGGUGGAAUGCGCAGAUAUCAGGAAGAACACCCGUGGCGAAGGCGGCUCUCUGGGACGGUACUGACGCUGAGACGCGAAAGCCAGGGGAGCAAACGGG